GAUGAACGCUGGCGGCGUGCCUAAUACAUGCAAGUCGAGCGAACAGACGAGGAGCUUGCUCCUCUGACGUUAGCGGCGGACGGGUGAGUAACACGUGGAUAACCUACCUAUAAGACUGGGAUAACUUCGGGAAACCGGAGCUAAUACCGGAUAAUAUAUUGAACCGCAUGGUUGAAUAGUGAAAGACGGUUUUGCUGUCACUUAUAGAUGGAUCCGCGCCGCAUUAGCUAGUUGGUAAGGUAACGGCUUACCAAGGCAACGAUGCGUAGCCGACCUGAGAGGGUGAUCGGCCACACUGGAACUGAGACACGGUCCAGACUCCUACGGGAGGCAGCAGUAGGGAAUCUUCCGCAAUGGGCGAAAGCCUGACGGAGCAACGCCGCGUGAGUGAUGAAGGUCUUCGGAUCGUAAAACUCUGUUAUUAGGGAAGAACAAAUGUGUAAGUAACUAUGCACGUCUUGACGGUACCUAAUCAGAAAGCCACGGCUAACCACGUG
rnacentral:rRNA from 1 species